CUUAUUUUUAUAUACUAUCUGGAAGGCGGGUGGUUGGGCCAGUAAAUGUUUGGAUCCAGCAGCGAUUGAAACCUUGAAAGCAGUGCAAUUUGGAUCCGACAGUGGCCACCAUGGGAGCGGCGUCGAGCUCAUCAACCUCGGACAUAUAGAGAUCGAGCUCACUAACGUUAGCGGAAAAGCUAUGUGCUACGUUGAUUCCGUUUGCAGUUUUAGUUGAGGUUCUGAUUCACAGCUUAUCGUCAUGUUUUCAUGAUCGUCCGGCGAAACCUCUUUAUACCUUUGAUGACGUCAGCCGUCUCGCUCGUGAUUCGCCAUUUUCGGUUAAUGAAGUUGAAGCGUUGCGUGAAUUGUUUAAUAAGUUGAGUUGUUCGAUUAUAGACGAUGGACUUAUACACAAGGAGGAACUCCAACUAGCUUUGCUCCAUUCAGCCUGUGGAGAGAAUCUUUUCUUGAACAAGGUUUUUGAUCUAUUUGACGAGAAGCAAAAUGGCGUUAUUGAAUUUGAGGAGUUUGUCCAUGUAUUGAGCAUCUUCCAUCCUAGUGGCCCAAUAGAACAAAAAAUUGAUUUUUCUUUCAGAUUAUAUGAUUUGCGAAAAACUGGCUACAUAGAACGGGAAGAAGUUCAAGAAAUGAUUGUUGCCACUUUAAAGGAAACCGGGAUGCGUCUUUCAGAUGAAGUUCUUGAAGAGAUAAUCGAUAAUACCUUUGCUGAUGCGGAUGCUGACAAGGAUGGAAGAAUCAAUCAAGAAGAGUGGAGGAACUUUGUCAUUCAGCGACCCCAUCUCUUGAAGAACAUGACUCUUACAUCUCUUAGGGAUGUGACCACGGCCUUCCCGAGUUUUAUAUUCAACACAGGAGUAGAUGAUGACUCCUUUCGAAAAAAGGAGUAGAUGACGACUGAAGACAUAAGGUUCCAACAACGGCGUCUUUGACGGUUAGGUAGUCAGAAAGUUUGUAUUAUUGUAUUUUUUGAAACUAUUGUUUGAAAUAAACAACACUUAAAACAAUGGCCGUUAUGGUAAAUAACAAUUAUAUUAUAUAUAUAUUGUUGAUGAAACA